rnacentral:lncRNA from 1 species
ACCUGAGGUAGCACUGAUUGCUGAAAUGGAUGGUCCAUAUUUACCUUCAGCUGGUACACAGCAAGUCCCUUUUCCAGCCCAAAACAGAUGAAUUUCAAGGUAAUUUUCUGAUACCUGAGCCUUAAGCUCUUUUGGUACUGCUCGUUUAGAAACUCCACCAGCCUCCUUGCGUAUGUCAAAAUCUUCCAAAACAAGAUUACCCUGGAAUAAUCAAAUUCAGAAAUUAAAGAAAGAAGAAUGUUAUUCUAACAAAAAAGUUUUUUUUUUUUGAAAAGCAACAAAAAGGUAGUUAUUAAUCACAUUAAAACUGGUCGUCAUUCUUAAACUAGAAUAAGCCUACCUAAGACCGAAGGGAGCCUUGUUCAGUUAGUACCAACUGACUUGUUAAGGGCAAAGCUCAAAGCUUCAAACCUUUGCAACAGCUAGGCGCACUAACAAUAUCUCAUUUAUCAAAAAACUUCCUACCUGGGUGGAAUUGUAUGAUGCCAAGAAUAAUAAAUUUAAAAUGAGGGGAGCAAAUCUUGGGUGGUCAUUUUCUGAAAUUUCCUAUGUAGGAAAUCUAGGGAGUUAGUAUCAGUACCACGGAAUCUAAGAACAAUUCUUCAAGUAAUGAAUUAUUUGGAUUAAAUAUGUUUCACAUGCUCAGCAAAGGUUGCCACUAGUUCAAGACUUCUAAUUAUCAAGAAAACCUUCUACAUCAUGACCAUGAAUACUACAGUUUGAAAGGUAACAGUUAAAGGGCAGCCUAGGGAUUUCAGUAGUGUGAUACAGACCUGGAUAUAUAUAUCAAAAACACGCCUCCCAAGACUUUCCCAUCUUUUUGUAUCCAUAAUUUCUAUUUCUGCAAACUGGAGCCUCACGGUGUAGUUUCCAUUCUCAAGCCCCAAUCCAUAGUACCUUAGUGAUGAAGCAGAAACCCGUGCUGUCUGGAAUAGUUUUGAGUCUAGGGUGCUUGUGGACUGAGAUGAUGAAGAAAUUUUGUACUGUGGAUUUUUGCUCUCAGCGAAAUACCCAACAUUACUGACUGCCCAACUAUUUGUGUCAGUCACAUAAUAUGAUGCUGGACCAAGAGUCUCAUCAUCCCUCUCGAACAGAGUCCCAUCAGAUGAUGUAAUCUGUGGACCACCACACUUAAUUGCAAAGUUAGAAUCUGGGAAACCAAAAAGAAAAGAGAUAUUCAGCAAUCACACUGAAAAAGGUUCUUUACAAGAAAAUAUUAGCAUAGUAGGCACACUUAUGAUCAUACUAUUGAGCACUCCCCCCAAACCCGCCAAUGGCGUUAGCUCAAUACUAACAACCGAAACAACCAAGCUUACCAUGUGGACAACAAAUAAGGGAUGGCAAAUGUUAUAGAAUAGGAACGUGUAAAUAUUUUUUAUUAAUAAAUGUAAUUAAAGGAACGUAAUUAUAGAAAUUAGAAAUCACCACGAUUAUAGAAGUUGAGAAUCAUCAUAAUUAUAAGGAUUUUAUUUUUUUUAUUUUUUUUAUUUUAAAGAUGUUUAGGCUGUAUAUAUAGAUAAUGUAUUAUGAAUGAAAGGUGUGGAACUUUCUCUUCCUAAAUAACAUGGUAUCAUAGCUAUUUUGGCAAGAUUUGAUUCCUUUGAAACAGAGUUCUUAGUUUUUUCUUUUACACACCACUUUUAGUUUCUGGUUUUGUUCCACACGGUGGCCAUUUGUCGGAGAUUCACUCCGGUCUUCUCUUCUGGUCUUUACGCCGGAAGGUUUCAAUAAGAUAGUUUGGUAUUCUUGUUAGGUUUUGUUGUUGGGUUUUCAAAAUGGCAAAAUCUGUGCCAGAGAAAAAAUCAAUGGUAGUGGCUGAUGUGAUUCCUGUGAUGACAAAGAUCACAGAGCAUAAACUUAAUGGUUCCAAUUAUUUGGAUUGCAGCAAGACAGUUCGGGUCUAUUUAAGAAGCAUUGAUAAAGAUGAUCAUAUUACUAAUGAUCCUCCUACUGAUAAUACAAGGCAAACCUGGAUGAGGGAAGACGCACGGCUGUUCCUGCAAAUUUGGAAUUCCAUUAAUGGUGAGAUUAUUAUCCUGAUUAAUCAUUGUGAGUUUGUCAAAAAGUUGAUGGAUUAUUUAGAUUUUUUUUAUUCUGGUAAAGGGAAUAUCUCUCGUAUUUAUGAGGUAUGAAAAGCAUUUUAUCGUGCAGAGAAACAAGAUAGGUCUCUCACAGCCUAUUUUAUGGAUUUUAAAAGAAUUUAUGAGGAGCUUAAUGUUUUGUUGCCUUUUAGUCCUGAUGUGAAGGUCCAGCAGGCUCAACGGAAGCAAAUGGCGGUUAUGAGUUUUCUUGCAAGUCUCCUUGCAGAGCUUGAGACUGUCAAAUCUCAUAUUCUUUCUGGUUCUGAGAUCUCCUCUCUGCAUGACACCUUUACGAGAGUACUUCGUACAGAAAGCUCUAGCUUAACAUUGGCUCCGACUAAUAACAGUGCUCUUGUAAGUCGUCAGAAUAAUAGAAGCGGUAACAGAGGAAGGGGAACGGGCAAUUGUAAUCGAGAUGUUGAUAGUCGUAGUCAAGAGUCAAGAGAAAUUGUGUGCUAUUAUUGUCAUGAGUCGGGCCAUACAAAGCAUUUUUGUAAGAAACUCCAAAAUAAGUCUCAAUGAGGUUAAUCAGCAAAUGUUGCAAUUGUUAAUACUUCAUCCUCUGAUAAGACUAUUCUAGUUUCUGCAGAUGAAUUUGCUCAAUUCUCUCAGUACCAGGAAUCAUUAAAAUCCACUACUUCUCCUAUCAAAGCUAUCGCUGAGUUAGGUAACCCCACUACAUGUCUUAUUUCCUCAUCAUCCAAAUGGGUCAUUGAUUCUGGUGCCUCAGACCAUAUGACAAGUAAUUCAAAUCUAUUUUCCACUUUCCAAUCACAUACAACCUCCUCUAAUGUUACUUUAGCCGAUGGAUCAACCUCUUGUGUUCUUGGUUCUGGAACUAUUAAUCCAACCUCAUCAAUUUCAUUGUCCAAUGUCUUAAAUCUAUCUAAGUUUUCUUUUAAUCUAAUCUCUGUUAGUAAACUCACUCGUGCCUUGAAUUGUUGUAUCUCAUUCUUUCCCGAUUUUUGUCUAUUUCAGGAUCUUAUGACGAAGCGUAUUAUUGGUAAAGGUCAUGAGUUUGGAGGUCUCUACUACCUUGACACACAGGUGCUGAGAUCCAUUGCUUGUUCAAGUGUAUUGACCCCCUUUGAGGUGCAUUGUCGGUUGGGACAUCCUUCUCUGUCUUCCUUAAAAAAAUUAUGUCCUCAAUUUCAAAAUGUGUCUUCGUUGAAUUGUGAGUCAUGUCAGUUUGCCAAACAUCAUCGUCUCUCUUCAGCGUCUAGAGUCAAUAAACGAGUUAUGUCCACUUUUGAGUUAGUUCAUUCUGAUGUUUGGGGUCCUUGUCCUAUUGUGUCUAAAUCUGAUUUGAAAUACUUUGUUACUUUUGUUGAUGACUAUUCUCGUGUCACUUGGCUAUUCUUAAUGAAAAAUCGUUCUAAGUUAUUUUCCAUUUUUUGUGCCUUUUGUGCUAAAAUAAAAACACAAUUUAAUGUUUCUGUGCGCACAUUGCGAAGUGAUAAUGCCAAAGAAUAUUUUUUCGAUAAAUUUCAGUCCUAUAUGAUUCAGAAUGGCAUUCUCCAUCAAUCUUCUUGUAUUGAUACACCCUCUCAAAAUGGAGUUGCCGAGAGAAAAAAUAGACAUCUCCUUGAGGUAGCCCGAGCACUUCUUUUUCAUAUAAAAGUUCCUAAACAGUUUUGGGCUGAUACUGUCUCCACAGCUUGUUUUCUGAUUAAUCGAAUGCCUUCCUCUGUCUUUCAUGGUGAUAUUCCCUAUAAUAUCCUCUUUCCUUCCAAGUCUUUGUCUCCUAUUGAACCUAGGAUAUUUGGUAGCACAUGUUUUGUUCAUGAUGUUCGUCCCUAAGUCAACAAAUUAGAUCCAAAAUCUCUCAAAUGUGUUUUCCUUGGGUAUUCUCACCUUCAAAAAGGUUACAAAUGUUAUUCUCCUACUCUUAACUGAUAUCUUGUCUCCGCAGAUGUCACUUUCCUAGAAAAUACUCAUUUCUUUUCCUCAUCUUCUAGUUAUGAUAGUCAGGGGGAGGAAGAUGAUCUACUAGUUUAUACUGCAACCCAUCCUGUCAAUACCACAUAUAUUCUUGCACCUGAUCCUUCACCUGCUUGGCCACCUAUUGCCCACGUCUAUUCUAGACGACUAAAGGCUCAGACCACAUGCCCUUUACCAAUCCCUUCACUGUCAGAUCUAGUCUCCAAUGAUCAUGAUCCUAGUCUCAAUCUCCCCAUUGCUCUUCGCAAAGGUAAACGUCAAUGUACUUACCCUAUUUCAUCCUUUGUUUCUUAUGAUCACUUGUCUUCUUUUUCUAGUUCAUUUGUUACAUCCUUGGAUUCUGUUUCAAUUCUUAAAACUGUUCAUGAAGCCUUGUCCCAUCCUGGCUGGCGUGCUGCUAUGGUAGAGGAGAUGGUGGCUUUAGAUGAUAAUGGUACUUGGGAUUUGGUAGAUUUGCCUAUUGGGAAGAAAGCUAUUGGGUGCAAAUGGGUGUUUGCUGUAAAGGUAAAUCCUAAUGGAUCAGUGGCUCGCCUUAAAGCCCAUCUUGUUGCUAAAGGAUAUCCCUAGACUUAUGGUGUUGAUUAUUCUGAUACUUUCUCUCCAGUAGCUAAACUUACCUCUGUUCGUUUACUCAUCUCUAUGGUGGCUACCUAUGAUUGGCCUUUACAUUAAUUAGAUAUCAAAAAUGCCUUUUCUCAUGGUGACCUCCAGGAGGAAGUGUAUAUGGAGCAACCACCUGGGUUUGUUGCUCAGGGGAGUAUGGGAAAGUCUGUCAUCUUCGAAAAUCCUUGUAUGGCCUGAAACAAAGCCCUCGUGCUUGGUUUGGCAAAUUCAAUGAGGCAAUUCAGGAGUUUGGGAUGAAGAAGAGUAAGUGUGACCACUCAGUGUUUUAUAAACAGUCUGAGGCAGGCAUAAUCUUACUAGUAGUGUAUGUUGAUGAUAUUGUCAUUACUGGGAGUGACAUUACAGGUAUUUCAUAUCUCAAAUCCUUUCUUCAUACCCAGUUUUAGACAAAAGAUUUGAGGUUGUUGAAGUAUUUUUUGGGUGUUGAGGUGACAAGGAGUAAGAAAGGUACAUUCUUGUCUCAAAGAAAAUAUGUUCUUGACUUGUUGACUGAAAUAGGAAAAUUUGGUGCUAAGCUGUGUAAUGCACCAAUGACUCCUAAUUUGCAACUUAUAAAAGAAGAUGGUGAAUUGUUUGAAGACCCUGAAAAGUAUAGAAAGUUGGUUGAAAAAUUGAAUUAUCUUACAGUGACUCGUCCUGAUAUUGCUUACUCUGUUAGUGUUGUAAGUUAGUUUAUGUCUGCUCCAAUAAUUAACCAUUGGGCAGCUUUGGAACAAAUCCUAUGUUCUUUGAAGGAGGCUCCAAGAUGUGGUCUAUUUUAUGGAAAUCAUAGACACUAAUAUUGAAUGUUUUUCAGAUGCAGAUUGGGCAAGUUCCAAGAGUGACAGGAGAUCCACUACGGGAUGUUGUGUUUUUGUUGGAGGAAAUCUGGUCUCAUGGAAAAGUAAGAAGCAGAAUGUAGUAUCUCAGUCUAGUGCAGAAUCAGAAUACAGAGCUAUGGCACAAACUGUGUGUGAGGUAGUAUGGAUGUAUCAACUAUUAAGUGAAGUUGGUCUUAAGUCUUCUUUGCCGGCAAAGCUAUGGUGUGAUAAUCAAGCUGCUCUCCAUAUUGCCGCCAAUCCCGUGUUUCAUGAGCAAACUAAGCAUAUUGAAAUUGAUUGCCAUUUUGUUCGUGAAAAGAUUUAGCAAAAGUUCAUCCCUACAAGAUAUGUUAAAACUGAAGACCAACUAGGAGAUAUCUUCACAAAAGCAUUGAAUGGACCUCGAGUUGAUUAUAUUCGUAGCAAGCUGGGCAUGAUUAACAUCUAUACUCCAGCUUGAGGGGGAGUGUUAUAGAAUAUGAAUGUGCAAAUAUUCUUUUAUUAAUAAACGUAAUUAUAAGAAUGUAAUUAUAGGAUUUAGAAAUCACCAUGAUUAUAGAGAUUGAGAAUCAUCAUAAUUAUAGGGAUUUUAUUUUCUUUAUUUUCUUUAUUUUUUUUAUUUUUUUUCUCUUUUAGAUAUAUUUAAGCUAUAUAUAUAGAUGAUGUAUUAUGAAUGAAAGGUGUGAAAUUUUCUCUUCCUAAAUAACAGCAAACAACAUAACAAUCAAGUCAAGGAACAACCUGCAUUGAAAUUGUAUUAAACAUCCAACCUAAAAUUAAUUGGCAAUAAAUGCAAAAACCUGAACUACAUAUAAGGUCACAAUAAAUCCCAAACUUAAACAUGAGAAAAACCAGUCGCAUUUAUAUGUAUGCCCAACACAAACAACGCAAACGGACAAACCUACUGCAUGACUGACAAAUAUGGGACAACAUACAACAAAUAACACACACCAAAUGGGCCUUUCCAAGAUAAAAAAAAGCACACACAUACACACCAAAUGGAUCAACAAACAACCAGGACAUAACCAACGAGCCUACCACAUGACUAACAAAUAUAAAACAACACAAUGAAUAACAUACACCAAAUAGGUCAACAAACAACCUGGACUUUUUUACCCUGUUAAGCAUCCAACCUGAAAAUAAUUGGUAUUAGUAAAAUGUAACCUGUAUACAGUCCUCAAAAGAUUAUUUAAGUUUAGGGGGUAAAGGAAUGCCAAAACACAAUUUUAGUAAGUUUUAGGAAUUUCAUUAUUGAGCGUCUACAAAUGCCUAAAAUUCUAACCUACAAGGACAGUUAUAAAAUUAUUUUAAUGAGUUUUAAAUGUAAAGAAAUGUGUGUUAAAAGAAAGAAUAGUUACAGUCAUUGUUCAAGGAUAUAAAUGGAUACCUAUGGGUACCCAUUCAUUAAACCACUUAACUAUGGAUUUGAUAACUAAAUGGAUGAGCUAUUUCAAAUUUAAGUUUCAAUCUCAGAUAGGAGCUUAAAUAUACUCCAUGGAACAAUAUGAUUGGUUCAACACUCAGUUCUGUAGCUUUAGUUUGUCUCAAAUUGUUAAAGGGGCCAUAUAAAUAAUUCUGGCCUAGAAGAAUAGGUACUUUAGUUCACAACUACUCCCUCCAAUAAAAUAUAAUACAACAAAUCAUUUUUCUCAUUAUCUCCCCUUAAUUUUCUUCAGCUCCCAACUAAUGCAGCUAGAUAGAAGGUUUCAUUUGCAAUUUUACAUGUAAUAUUUAGGAUUGAGAAAGUAAAAGCCUUUAUCAAGUUGAGUUGGGCACCUUUAAUGCAAUCAUUUCCAAUUUCUUUUUUGCCUACUGAGGCAUUCAAGGCCAUUUUAUUUAUGAAACUAAACUCAGUGUCUCUGUAGUCUCUCUGUUUAACAUAAAACAGGAAGUUACCAGAAGAAAUCUUUGGCAAUUCUCAUUACUUCACCUAAAACUUAAGCUUAAGUGCAAGAGCCAUUCAAUCUAUUCCUUGGGAAUAUAAAGGUUGCUCCGAAUUUAUUAAAAUCAAGAGACUGCAGAUUUAUGUUCUGAUUUUUAAACACUGUAUGUAUUUGGGAGUUUGGAGCUAUAGGAGAUAUUAAUUUGCCUAGGUUAAAGAAUCCUAAAUUUGUUUAGAUGGAGUGCAAGUUGAUCUGUCAUGUUUUUAGUAGACGAUAUCCUGUUUGUAACUUUUAAUCCUUACAAGAUAAUAGUGUGCUAUCUUGUGUUCUACUCUUUCCUUUUUUAUCAUCUUUCUUGCCUUCUUCUGAAACUAAAUUUUCUACUGUUUUACACUCCAAAAUAAUUCACAACAAGCCCUCUUUCCCUUUAAUCCGCAAUUCUCAACCCUUCCUGCUCUGUUUCACCAAUUACUUUAAUAAUAGUAGGCCUUAAAAGGCCCUAAUCACUAGCCAUUCAGCUUGCUCCUGCAACCUGGUAUUUGAGUUCUAGCAACCUGUCCACCUACCUAGCAUGUUUUUGAGUGGGGUAAAAGUGGAGGACGGUAGAGUGAAAGAGAGUAACGAUUGCUACCCUGUUUACAGAGGGUUUGGAGGCAAAUUAAAUUCCUCCAGACACCCUUUAAAUUUUUAUAUUUUCUCAAAUGAAGAUAAUUAGAGAAUAAAGUAAAGUAUAUAAUUUCAUUUUGUGAUUCCUUUUUCCCCUUUCAAAAUUUACAUUAUUGAUGAUUGCAUAUUGCAGUAUAGUUGUAAUAUAGUAAUAUUUGUUCUCCUCUACUAUGCACUUCCUAUGGUAAUAAUAGGCAAUGAACCCAGUUCUAUAUAAUGUUAUUAAAUUUUCAUUCCCCAUCAAUGCUAAUCUUUGCAAUAUAUGAUGGAUAACUAAAGAUUUUUUUAUAAAUAUUAUUGGUGAGUAAGACAAUGGAAAUCAUGUAUAUUAAGCUUUUCUUUUUUUUUUUUUUAAAGGCAUAUAUUAAGCAUUAAAUUUUUAUCAAAAUAUUUAACCUCUUUUUUGCUUUUCUUUUUUGCAGUUUUUUCUUUUGAUUUGAACUAAUUUCCUUGGGAAUUUGACAAGUUUAUGAAUCACAAGGAUAGAUCAAUUGUACAAUGUCAUCAUUCCAUCAAUUUAAUAUUUCCCUUUUUCCAAAUAGAUAUUUCUUGGGAGUGUAUAAUUUCCAGUUCUUUGCAUCUAACUUAACUCAUCCACAAUCAUUGAGAAUUACAUGGAAGUACUUGAUCUAGCAACAAAAUUUUCAAUUAAUUUUUGCCAAUAACGCAUGCAGUGAACUCAGGAAGGUCCCUGUAUUCUGUCUGCCAACCUAUUUGUUUCUCACAAAGAAGGGAAAGUUUUAACUACACUUACAGGUUCCACGUCCUCCUUUGCAAGGAAAAUUCCGCUGAAGGCAGUUCAAUCCUGAUGGCAAAACACUGAAAAUAGAAGAGCAAUGGAGUUGCAUAAGGAUGAUGAUUACACGCUUAGCAAUGUUUGAUGAUGUUUGACCAUCUAAAUCUCAAUAAGGCUAUGUAAGCUGACUUAAACCUUUUAAAUUCUUAAAUAGAGUUAUGCAGAACAAGGAGGGGAAAAGAGACAGAUAAUAGAAUCAGAGAGGGACAAAAUAAAUUAGAGAGAAACAGGGGAAAUUGGGGAGAAACAGAAGAGUAAGGGAAAGAAAACAAGAAAAAAUUAAUAGAGGAAGAAAAUCUCAAUACUCAAUAAUUGAUAAUCCAAAAGCUCAAUACCUCACAAUCAAAGCAUUCUAGAAACUAAAAAGAACAUAGAUAUCUAUAGGCUAUAUCCUAAACCCUGAUAAAACAUGAAUAACAAACAUAAAUGUAAAAAUGCAAUUCUUGAUAAAUAAGCAAAAAUAAUUACUAUAAAACAGCCUACAACCCAAAUCUAUAAAGGGUACAAUUAAGCUCAUAAAGCAUAACAUUACAAAAUAAAAUCUUUAAGUCAAGCAACUUCUUUCCAUGCUGCAUCAUGGAGUCUGUAUAAAAAUGCAAUCAGCUGCUGUUCGUUUUCCCUUCUUCUUCAAGAGUGACAACAGGGAAGGAGCCAGUUUUAUUCUCCAGAUAUAAAAGUAUAUAUUUACUUAUUAUUCAUUAUACAGCAUCAUAAUACAAGAUUAUGAAAGUGGACAGAAACAAAGGAUAAUUUUAAGCAUUGAACAGCUUAUUAUCAUGUUCCAAACCUCAUAGAUAUUGCUAAUAACUUAUCAAAAGAAAACUACAGUAUCACUUAUAGCUCAUUUGUGGCCCAUGAUCAGCAACUUAACAAGGGCAAAUGACCAACAUACAAGUAAGAACAUUAAUAUUCUGAUUAGAGAGAGAGCAAAUACAUUUUAAGUCAACUUCACAUGUUCAAUCAUAAAUAAGUGAAGAUAGCACUAAGAAUCACCUGCCAUUUGACUGUCCUAUUGUGAAGUUGUUGGCAACUAAAUUACUGCAUAUUACACACCAUAAAGAAAGCAGUCAAUUUCAAUAUUAAGUGUACAUAGAAUGAAAACCAAUUUUACAGAUUUGAGAUUUUCUAUAAUAUUGAACAUACAAUACUCAAAAGCUAGCAGAAGACAAUAUCUUUGGCAGAGUGUGUAAAUAUAUACAUUGAUCAUAUUGCAUAUGUGCAAUUAUGAACCUAUAAGAGACUUACAUUGACAAAUUUGGUUCGUUGACCCAAGAAGGAAAGCUCCCAGCUAAAUUGUUGUACGACACAUCUCUGCAAGGGUUGUGCGUUUAGAAUGGCACAUAUUCAGAGAAUUAAGCACUAGUCAAAUCACAUCAGCCCAUGCAAGUUGUUAACACCAUCCAAAACUUCUACACCUCUAUGUUUCCCCACAAAUAUCAAAGCUAGUUGGUGUUGCACCUUAGAUAGACAUAUGGUCUCUAGUUUGUAAGGUAAAACAAAACAGCAGCAAUAGGUCUUUCAAAGGCUAUGGCAUGAUGAAUGUGCCUUCAUCUCUAACUUCAGAUGUCUAACUCAGUAACAUAUAUGAUUUCCUAACAGAAAUAGGUCUAAAUACAACAUCCGUUUCAGAUAAAUCAUAUUCCUUUUGCAUUGAAGAACCACUAAGAGACUUAAAUAAGUAAAAGAAAUAGUGAACAGCCACAUACACAUCAAGCUUCAUACAAAUUCAACAGCACAUCUAAAUUUUCUAAUGCACAGAUGCCACAUUGAAUUAUUUUUUUUUCCACAAAGUGGUAUAUAUACAUAUACAGUUAUAAUUACAAAUAAUAUUACUAUCAAUACAUAUAAUAUAUAUAUAUAUAUAUAUAUUACUAUAUAUAUAUAUAUUUUCGUCCCACACAGAACUUUAUCAGCUGGGUCCUAAGGUUCUUUCAGGACAAAGAUAAAGCCAUUGCAGCAAUAAUUUGAAGAAGAGAUUGAAGCUCGAAAUGUCCCUUGGAUUGAAAAAACUAAAAGAUAUUGACUGGGAAUAUACUGUUAGUCCAAAUUAAUUUGUUUCUUAGUAUAUUAUGAUCACAUCGAGUGACAAGACAUAAGUUGCUCUUACAUAUUGCGAAGAGAUGAACUCUUUUGUGCAGGAAGGGAGCCAUGUAACUUAUUAUUUCCAAGAAACCUGAAAUAAAAAGAUCAAAAUUUGCUAUACUUUCAUAUUUAAAUCAGCAGGUAUAUUAAAGAAAAAAAAUCAGCAGGUAUGUGAAGCUAUUUAUUAAAUUUUGCAUCUUACAAAUGAUUGAGUGAACUCAAACUGAAAAGCGAGUCUGGGAUCUGUCCAGUUAUAUUGUUGAAGCUUAAAUCCCUAGAAAACAAUAAUAAUAAUUAAACAAUUACAAGAACAAGUUCAACUAGUAAGCAAAAGGAAAAAGGUAAUAAAAGAAACAACUCUAUUUAUGCAAAGUAUAGGCUGGCAAACUUUCAUACAAAUCCAGCAAAACACAACCACCUUGGACCCUGCAAAAACAUUUUCAUAUGUACAUACAUACAUACAUAUAUAUUUAUACUCUACACACAUGUAUGCACACAGACAUACACAUAUACGUAUAUGUAGAUGCAGACACAUACAUUUGGUACAAACACGCGCGCACACAAGAAAACAAUUAACUUUAGAUUUUGUGUAAAAUGAUUGCUAAACCGAUUUUAAAUAAAAUGGGUUUUGUUUACAAGCACACCAACCAACCAGCUAAGUAGUAUCAUUUAAAUAUACUUAAUAAACUUUAUAUAGGGCUCAUAAAAUAUCUGACCAUCAGGUUAGACGGACCAAUCAAGUGGUCAAUUGACUGCUUUCAGGCCCAACUCACUCAGAAACUGCCUUGACAGAAUUCUGAAUUGUAACUAAGGAAACAACUGCUCAGGAGAAUAACUUACAGCUGCCUCAAACUCUGGUAUUCUCCAAAAGUGGAUGGAAUUGUAUCAGAAAUAUUAUUGUUCCUUAGUUCUCUGCACGAAAUAUCCUUUCUUGAGACAAUGUAACUAAGCUAUUGGACAACAGGAGAGAAUAAGGAACAAAUUGAAUCGUAAACUGGAACUGAGAUAGCUUACAAGAUAUUUAAGGACUUCAUCUCCUUCAUAAAUGAUAGAGAACUUCCAUUAGAUAAACCGCUUAUCCUCCUAUAAUUGCAUAACAUUGGAUUGUUGGCAUCACAGACCUUCAACAUAUUAGCAAAGUUACAGAAAAGAUGUAGCCACUCACAACUCUGUCAGUGAAGUAAGAUUGGAAAAUGUUGAAGGCAUUGAACCUUCAAAAGAGUUUCCUUGAAAUCUCCUACAAUCAAAUAAUAGAUUGAACAUUAUAAAUUGUGCAGUGAUAGCAAUAACACAAAUAGCUAUCAUUUUCCUCUGCUCUCAUUCAAAAAAGAGUUUAGAAUCACAUGAAGAAAAUAAACCAUACAAAACACGAAGCUUUGACCAAUUCCCUAUAAAGUCAGGUAUCCUCCCUGUAAGUUCUGUGUCCGAUGCCGACCUGAAACAAAUUGAAGUAUUGCUUCAAAAUUUUCAUGAAUAUACUCCUUUCUUCCAACAAAGCAUAUAUGUUUGAAAGUUUCUAGAAAGAAAAAAGCAUCAAAAACAUUCUUACACUGCUAGCAGGUUCUGCAGAUUAGUGAAUGUUGAAGGAAUCUCACCAGUUACACCGGAACUAUCAAAAUAACUGCCAAAAUAAACAAGGUUCCAUCAUUUCUGAUUGUCUUUAAUAUUUUUUAUCAAGAAAAAACGCAGAAAUGUAAUUGAUCAUAAAUCAUAAGUAUCAAACUUCAGAAAGGUACACAGACACUACAAAAGAAGAUAAAUAACAGAAUCUUAUAAGAACUAACUGCAAGUUUUGAUACAUGAUACUUCAAGCAUAGAACAUCCUAGAAACUCCAGAGACUUCAUAGUCAAACAUGUAAAUUGAUAGAGAAAUCUAUCAUCUGGUCCUUCCUAACAGACAGGAUCAACAAAAAAUAAAGAGAUUUAAGGUCGUCAAGGUUUACAGCAGUUACAAAAAAAAAAAUCUAAACAUGCAUUACAAACUGUUAUUUUAAUAUCCGUGAUGUGUUUAAUUUUUGAAAUAUACAAUUCAUAAUAGCAAUAACUUCUUCUAUUAUUUAAGCCAUUAUACACAUAGGACAAGAAUCAUUGCAGUACCUCACAGAAUACAAAAUCUUAGAGAACUUAAAAGGCUUAGAGUAGUCAUUAAGCAAAAGUCUAGCCACCAAUAAGGUCAAACAUACUCAUAGCCUACUAAAUGGUAUGGCAAUAUAUAAUGAUUGUCUAUAUAAAAGAAAGGUGCUGCCGUCAUUUAUCAAUUAACGCUAUGUGGACACAAAUAUCUUUCCUGAGUUACUUUCUUCUAGAUAGUUUCAAUAUCCCAGCUAAUUAAAUACAGCAUAAAAGAGAGCCUUAGCUGUCAGAAGGCAACAUAUAAUGAUUGUCUAUAUAAAAGAAAGAUGCCACUGUCAGUUAUCAAUUGACGCUAUGUGGACACAAAUAUCUUUCCUGAAUUACUUUCUUCUAGAUAGUUUCAAUAUCCCAGCUAAUUAAAUACAGCAUAAAAGAGAGCCUUAGCUGUCAGAAGCAGAUGCAAAUUUCUUUAGAAAGAUUUUGAAGAAUUGAACCAGUAAAUCACUUUCUGCAAGAUUUUGCACAAAAGUGAGUCUUUGUUUAGUAAUGUUUUUGGCUUGUUAGGCUUUUUACAUAUAUUCCUUCAUGUAACUAUUGUCUUGUUCCUGUUUCCACAACUUUAUUUUGAGUAAUUGUUUGCUUGUGCCUAUUUUCUCAGUUAUAACAUGACCAUGAUCUAUUAAAACUAGAUGUUCUUUCAAAGCCAACUUGGUUUUCCUCAUAGUUUGUUCAGAAGCCUAAGCAAAGAUCCCAUUGGUUCCCAACAAACGAUAGUUCAGUUCUGGAACCUCACUUCAAUUGUCCAUAACAUCAUAAUUCCUGUACAUUGAAGGAUCAAUGUAUCCUAUGGCAAUGAUGUCCCAGUGAUUGAUCUUCAAAAGUAAUUACUAUAAUUUUAAAUCACCCAAUAUUUAAUUUUUCACCAUCUUCCUACUUCAAAAUAAAUACCCAAAUAUUCUAAAAAUUCUUAAAAUUAAUGGAGGUUGCGUAUACGAAUAGACUGGAAGCCAAGAACUAGACAAAAGUAUAACAUGUCAAUGUUUUAGACUAGCCUAAGCCCUAAAUUUAAAUUUCUAUGUGGAUGACAAACAUCUUAUGUCUUUUCAGCAAUAAAAUAAUAAAUAUAUCAUGUGAUUCAUCAAAACUCUAAGUAAUUUUAAAUAAUUGUCACCAGCAUGUCUCUAUGUAAGUUGUUCUCUUUCAUACUGUUUAGGUUGGCUACUAUUCUUGCCUUGUUAAUUAAAUACUAGUUUUUUAUAUGUUAUAGAUCCAUUUCCAAGAUAGUAACUUUUUCCUAUCAAAGCUUACAGAAUCUGCUCUGAAAAUGGAAGGAAUGUCCAACAUUGUACAAGAACUUACAGUUGUUCUAGCAUUGAGCAGUUGCCAAUCUCCGAUGGCAAAGGACCCGAGAAGUUAUUAGUUCCAAUGGCCCUGCCAUAUGAAGAAGUACAUAAAUAAAUAGAUUAUACAUCUCAAGCACUUUGUUUGCUUUAGUAGAAAUCAGUUCAACAAAUAUGAGAAGGCAACCCGAUAUAUGAGGAACAAAAAGGGAAGUCAAGGAACAACAAUCUUAAGUAAACAAAUCCUAUCAUUGGAAACAUUAUAUAUAUAUAUAUAUAUAUUGCAAAACUAAAGAAGAAACCUUCAGUUGGAGAUGAUGACCAUCAUGCAACCAUAGAGAGUUGAAAAAACAAGGUGCUAAAUAAAUUAUACAGAAGAAUGAGAUUAGCUUACAAGAAUCUUAAAUCAGUAAGCAAUCCAAUUUCCUUUGGAAGCUCCCCUGAUAAUGCAUUAUGGCCAAGGGCCCUAUUCAACACAAAGAUUACAUAUCAGAACAGAAAAGAUGAAUAAAAAUAACUCAAGAUUGAAAAUUUAUAAAUUAUAAAAGUUGCAACGCCGUACAGCCACUGCAUUCGAGUUAGAUUGCCAAUCGAAGCAGAUAAGGGACCCGUCAAGUAAUUUUGGCCCAGCCUCCUGAAAGAAGAGGCGAUAAGAAGGGGGGAAGUCAGUAUUCUUAACAGAAGUAAACUUGACCAAUCCAUCGCGAGAAACUAUCCUGCUUGUGCUGGAUGGUAACAGUAUAGCUAAAGUCAUGCAACAUAAUUCACAUUUCACGUUUGGCAGCAGCUUGAUCUUAGCACAGAUAUCAAAGUAUGUAAUCAUUAAAACUAUAGAAUUCUAAGUAUAUACACGUGUAAAUGGAAAUCAUACAGAUUGGUAAGAAAAGUCAAAGUCCAAAUCUCAUCUGGAAUCGGACCCACGACAUUCAGCGCAAAAACUUUCCUGUAAAAAAAGUUAUAUGGAAUAAGAACAUAUGAAAUGAAGCUUUUUCAAAUACAUCAGUCCAAAAAUUCAGAAAUUAAACUCUCAUCAUCAUUACAUAAUAAUACUAACAAUUAAGUAUUACAUGAUAAGAACAUUCUUCAAACAUGAAUUAGAGUCAAGCGCUCAGUUUCUUUAUUUGUAGUAACAGAAAUUUGAGUGUCUUUUUGGAAAAAUAAAUAUACAAAUACCCACUAAUAAUCCUUGAUUAGAAUGGCACAAAACCCAACCAUUGCAUGCAUUACUCAGUUCCUCUGUUGAAAAAGAAUAGAAGGCAAAUCGAAAGUGCAUCACAUUUAAUAAAAUUAUCUUUUUCUUUUAUUUUAUACGUAUUAAACUCAAUGGGAUUGGAGCCAAAAAAAAAAAACUCUCUACCACUUCAAAAAUGUUAUCUCUCCCUCAGAAUUUAAUUGGAAGUUCAAGCAUAUCCUAGGCAGAUAAUUUGCUUCCAUAGCUAAAUUAAAAAAAAAAGAAAAAGAAAAAGAAAAAGAAAAGGAAAGAAACUACAUUUUCUAAAAGGAACAAAUAGCAAGCAGGCAAUUUUAGCAUCAAUGCAAGCACCGUCCGAGGCUAUUUGCACUCGAGCAAUCACCAUUCAGACAUAAUGUCAAACGGAUUCUUUGCAUUUUCUGUUAACAACAUCGGCUGACAGCACCCAAAUGAAACAAGGAAGCCAGUUGAAAAAAAGAAAAGGAUACAUACAGAUGGGUGAUGUGGCAAGUAGAGCCAUUGUUGAAAGAACAGUUACAUUUGACGAAAGGGUUGUAAUCAUCGUUAUUAAUGUCUGUAGAGUCAGAGUCGAGGGCAGCUCCGCUGCAUGGUUCGCCGCUUAUGUUCCAUUGGUUUCGUCUCGCUGAAAUUCCCCAUUUUUGGAAUAUUGAGUUCAAAGCUCGUACUGCAUUCCAAUUUUACCGUGUUUACUUCCAAUUACAGAAAAAUUACAGAAAACUUGGGCAAAACCAAAAGCUUACAACAGGUUGCGAGGCCCCUCACUUUCAAUUAUUAUUAUUGUUCAUGGGUCGCUAUAAGAAACUUUUAAUUGAUUUUAAUAUGUUCUAUAUUUAAAUUUUAAUUUUUCUUUUCAAAUUAAUGUUUUAUGACUUAUAAAAUUAAAAAAUAAAAAAAAAAAUCACAAAAAUUAAUUUUAGAUAUAAAAUAAAAAAAUAUUAACUGUUAAAAAAAGGGUAACUCUGGAAAUUUCAAAAAUGAAAAAUAGGCAAAUAAAUGGGCACUAAUACUUGUCAAAAAUUCUAAUUAAUUAUAAAAAUUUGGAACAAAUUUUGUUACAUAGGCAAAUAAAUGGUUUUUGUUUUUUUUAUUUUUUCAGUUAGGCAUGGAGUUUGCUGUUUGAUGUUUUCUUAUCAUGGGAGCUUGCUCUUUGCUUACAGUAUUCAUGGAUGAAGUACUAGAAACGCUGGAAGAGAGAAGCAGAAGCAGAAGCAGCAACAGAAGAAGUAAAUACCUUCAGCAGGAUCAGUAGGAGGCUGAGAUUGAUUCUGAGCUUGAGCUGCACCUAUGAUGCACAGAGCAUAGAAACAACCCAAAGCCAAAUGUUGAGGUGAUCUCAUCACUCGAAACAUCAUUUGUUCACCAAUUCUUUUUCUGCUUCAUUAAUGUUCAAUGAAAAAGUUGUAUGAGAAGAACUACCGCGUUGCUGAGUCCAGCCCAAUAUUUAAUAACCAGAGAAAAGCAUGAAAAAGCCUGCUCAUGGAAACAACUCAGAAAGUCCGACUACCGUUCCAGUUAACGAAAGGCUUGGCUCACACCAGCCAAUCACAUUUCAGACGACAGACGCACAUGCAUGACAUGGACAUUACAGCAACGAUCACAAAUGGUUUGGUAUCCAAUGGAAAAUUCUCUUUUUGGAUAAAUCUUCAUUCGUGCGUAUAACGUUUUCAAUUUUUUAACUUGUUAAAAGUCAUUUUCUUUUAAUAUACAUUGAUGGUGAGCUAUAUAUAUGACAAGAAAUAGUUUCCUUUUUUCCAUAAAUCUCAUUAAGUUGAUUUCAAAUUGGAAUUCAAGUUUUCAAAAAUAAAAUCUUGGACUCUAACCUUAAUGCAUCACUCGCACUCUUGUUUAAAUUUUACUAAAAAGAUUUUGUUAUGUUAAUAGCAAGGUUUACUUAUUCUAGUCUUUUACAAAACAUGUUAUUUUAGAAAAAUGAUAUAAAACUUGAAAAGUCUCUCGAUUAUUUAAAAAAAUUUAAAUAAAUUAUUAGUCUUCUCUUAUGUUCAAUUAGAUUUUAUAUUUUUAUUUUAAAUCAAAUAAGCUUUUAUAAUUAAUAGUUUAUUAAUUACAAUUAGUUAAAUUAGCACACAUCAUUUUAUUCUUAUGUGGUGUUGAAAUGACGUUGACGUAAAUAGUAAAAAAUUAUAACCAUAUCAUCAUAUUACAUCAAUAUGUCGCAUCAUCAUCUAUUACGACAUAACAAUAUUUCAAGAGGCAUAAAAUGACAAGUGAUAUUUUAACUAAUAACAGUUAGCUAACCAUUAGUCAUAAAAAUUUAUUUAGCUCAAAAUAAAACUAUAAGGAUUUAAUUGAAAGCAAUAAAAGUAUAAAAAUUUACUUAAAUUUUUCUAAAUAACUCAUAAACUCUUUUAGAUAUUUUACCAAAAAUAAUUAUGCCAUACUUGUAAGAAAAGGAGGAGUAAAUUAGUUUGUGUACUGUCUUUAAUAAGAUAGUCACUAAAUUUUUGGCUAACAGGUUAUCCAAAUUUCUUUAUGCAAUUAUUUUUUACAAUUAAAGUGAUUUUGUUAGUGGCAAGCUCAUUAGUGAUAACAUUUUGCUAGCACAAGAGUUGAUUGGCAAACUUGACUAUAAAUCGAGAGGAGGAAAUGUUGUUUAACAAUUAGAUAUGAUGAUAGCUUAUCACCAGUUGCAUUGGGAUUUUUUAUACUUGGUGAUGGAAAAUUUUGGUUUUAAUGAUCAUUGGAUUGGUAUGAUAAGGAGAUGCAUCUCAAAUUGCUAGUUGUCCUUGUUGAUUAAUGGGUAGUUAGUUGGCUAUUUUAAGUCAGCAAGGGGGUUUAGACAAGAUGACUCUAUUUCGCCACUCUUAUUUAUUUUAACAGCUGAAUACUUAUCACGAGGCAUCAAUCAUCUUUUUGCUUAGUAUAAAUCACUACAUUAUCAGUUUGGUUGUAGUAUGAAUAUUAACCACUUUGCAUUUGUUGACGAUGUGAUGAUUUUUACUAAUGGAAGCCAUUCAACUUUGCAGAAGAUUCUUGAAUUUUUACAGGAGUACAAGCAAAUUUUCAAACAGCAAGUGAGCCAUCAAAAGAGUUGUUUUAUUACAGCUAAUAAUCUUGAAGCUUCAAGGAAACAUAUUAUUUCACAAACUAUAGGAUUUACACAUAAAACAUUAUCGAUUAUUUAUUUAGGUGCUCCGCUGUACAAAGGUGCGAAUAAGGUACUCUUAUUUGAUUCACUUAUUAAUAAAAUACGUGACCAUAUUUCAAGAUGGGAAAAUAAGAUCCUCCCCCUUAAUGACUGAAUUACUUUACUAUGGAGUGUUCUUUCUUCAUUGCCAAUUUACCUCUUCAUUGCCAACUUAACUCUUACAAGUUCUUAAGCCUCUAGUGAGCGUGAUUGAAAAAAUCAAGAGGCUUUUUAACAGUUUUCUUUGAGGAAGAUCUAUAGAGUGUAAACGGAUCCAUUGGGCAAGCUGGCAAAAAAUUACUAUUCCAUUUUCAGAAGGUGGUUGAGAUAUCAGAAGCUUAAAGGACGUCUUUGAGGCCUUUACAUCAAAACUAUGGUCGCGGUUCCAAACUUGUAACAGUAUUUGGACAUAAUUCAUGAGAGCAAAAUAUUGUGCUGUCAAAUACCUCAUACUGUAACCCACAAACUAAAAGAAUGGUUGAUGGCAGAACUUUCACUGAACCAAAUAUCAGGUAGCAGAUAGGUAAAGGAGAGUUGUUCUUUUGGCAUGACUGUUGGAUAAGAGAUCAACCGUUAGUAAAUUCUUUUCCUUCAUUUCUUCAUUCAAUGGCUAAAGUUAAUUACUUUUAUAAUGGAAAUAAUUGGGAUAUAAAGAAAUUGAGAAUGGUAGUUUCAAAUGUUAUCGCUAAGGAAAUUAUGAGGACUCCUUUUGAUAAAACCAAGGAUGAUACAGCUUACUGGUCCUAUAUCUAAUGGUGAUUUUACUACCAAAAGUGCAUGGGAAGUAAUCUGGCAUGGACAACCUACCAACUUCUUGGGUAAAGCUUAUUUAGCAUAAAAGUAUACCACUAACGAUUCCUUUCUUCUUAUGGAGAACGAUCAAUAAUUGGAUAUCGAUGGAGAUCUAAAUGAAAUAUAAAGGCAUCCAGCUUGCUUCUAAAUGCCUUUGUUGUAAUUCAAAGGAAUGUCACAUCUCGGUUUGUCCAAAACAUUUUUUAAAAAAAAAAAUUUACAUUGCAUCUUUGAAAAUUCGUGCCUAAUUAUUUUCAAAGCGUCAAAUAUUGGGUAUUAUAAAAUUUAUUAUUUUCUCAAAAUAAAAUUUAUGCAUGAAUUUCAAAUAGUGAUUUACAAGGUGAAUAAGCAAUAUAAUUAUGAAUGCACACUGCACAAAUAUAUGCCACAUUUCGGUGUAAAACAAUGUAAAAGGUUUGUUUCUCGAUUUUUAAAACACUUUACAUAUAAUUUAUACAUAUAUAUAUUCCAAAUGAUUUCUAUACAUAAUUUGCAACCACAAUUUCCUAAGAUUGUUACCAGCAUAUGCUAUCCACAAUUUUCGCGUUUAAAAUAAAUCAUACGUAUAGGUAUAUAUUUAUGAAAAUUUUUAAAAUUGACACCCCCUACUCACCUCACAAUAACGAGAUUAUUACGUCGCUAUUGGUUUGUACGUGUAAUAAUUAUUCCUAUUUGCUAGUCAUGUACUUCAUCCGAUACGCCUCUACGAUAAACUUUCUUAGUAACAAUUUAAACCAAAUAUACUUAAUCACAUACAAGUAUGGAUAGCAGCUUAAUUAAAAAUUUCUUAUCCAAAUUACAUAUUUUUCAUCCAAAACAUGCACCAUAUUAAACUACGCAUAAUCCUUAAAAUGUAAUAUUAACUUACCAUUUUUUUUUUCUUCUCCAUCUUUCUCCUUUCUUCCCCCUUAUGCUGGCUGCAACCACCCUUCCUUUCCCUCACAAACCAGCAGCACAAAGCCUCUUAUUCCUCUCUAAAAAAAAUCAACUCCUUUCCUCCUUAAACCGACAGCAGCUCAACCUUUUCUUUUUCUCCUUAAACCGGCAACACCAACUCUUUGUUUCUCUCCCCUGAGCCGGCUUCCUCUCUACUCUCUCUUACCGCUGGUCACUUUCCUUUUCUUCUUCUUUUUCUUUUUCUUCUCUCCCUUCCUUCUCCUCUGACACGUUAUUCUUCCUCUCUCUCUUUCUUUUUCUUCUUCUUUUAUUUCUUUUAGCUGGCCCCUCCAUCAUUCCUUCUCUUUCUUUCUUUACUUUUCUUUCUUUUUCCCUUUCAUCUCUUUUAUCUCACUUUACUCACAAAUUUAGCCGGCCACUACCACCUUCGUUUCAAUUUUUUACUUUCUUUAAUCUUUAAUCUUUAUUAUUUAAUCUUACCCUUCUCUCCAUUUGGUCACAUGGGCGGCUAGCCCAUGAACCCAUGCCUUUCUUUGACUUUUCCUCAUCUAUUUAUGUUUUAAAGCUCAUGGCCAACCUUUUAAGGCAUCAUUCCCAUAUGUCACCUCCAUUCUUUCUUUUUUUUUUCUCUUUAUCUCCUUAGUUUUCUUUCUUUAUUUGUUCCAUCCAUUUAAUUUACAUAUCAUUUCACAUACAUUUUUUUUUAAUGCCACCAUAUCAUUCAAUAAUAUCUCAUUAGCCUCAAAAUAUUAAAAUUACACAUAACCCUAAACUUUUCUUUAUUUAUCAUAUAACCCUUUAAACUUUCGUAUUUUAAAUUCGAUCUUUUCGAUACAUUUAAAAAUUCUAAUUUCCAUCUAUCUCUGUUCCUUUACACACAUACAACCAGAAUAUCAAAAUUGCAUUUCAACGCGGUGUCACCAUAAUAUUUUAAAUAUUUACUUACCUGCGCUAGCUCGAUUUAAUAAAACACGUGGGUCUCACUUACGUCAUUUAUCUCCAAAAUUCAUUUGUUCUUCUUCUCCCNAUGUGGCCUUUGCCUCCCCAAAUUAUUAGGUGGGUAAAAUCGUUGAUAGGUGAAUUCAAGUUGAAUGUCAAUGGUAGCUCUCAGAAAAAUUUUCAAAAUACAGCGUGCAGGGGAGAUCUUUGAGAUCACACUAAUAAGCUCAGUUUUUGGUUUUUUUGAGAAUCUUGGUCCCACUCAUUCUUUGAAGGUGGAAUUAUUGGCCUUACAUAGAGGCUUACUUUUAUACCAAGCUUACAAUAUUUCUAAAGUCUGGCUAGAGAUGGAUGCUUUGGUAGUCAUUAACAUGCUUCGAGAGAACAAGAAAGGGUCUCAUGAAAUCCUGUAUUUGUUGGAAUCUAUAAAGGAGUGUUUGAACAAUAUUUCCUAUAGAAUUUCUCACAUUUGCAAGGAAGGUAAUCAGGCUAUAGAUUUUUUGUCGAAUAAGGUUUAUCAACACUAGAAUCUGAGUUAUGUGGCAUUUUAAAGUUAGAUAAACUUUAUCUACCUUAUGUUCGCUUUAAAUAAAUGUACAUGAGUUAUACUCUUAAUUUAUUUUUAUUGUUAUUUCUUUUUAUUCUUAAAAUCCUAUAAAAAGGGGACUUUUAUCUUUACCGUAGCAUCCAAAAUUAUGCCAAAUUAUGCACAUAAAGUAAAACCUUCUUUAGGCCUUCACUUAAUUUUAAUUUUGUGAUCAUGUAAAUUCGGAGGUAAGGUUUAUGUUCCCCUCCUAUCUAUACGUUUUUAUUUGUUUCGACAGAUUAUCGAUAGAAUGAAUACUUCACUCUUUUCAACAAAUAUGAAUUUGGGUCAAUUCAAAUUCACAUGAAAAAACAUGUUAAUAUCUCAGCAUAAUAUAUAAAAUAAUAAAAAAAAAUCUAAAGAUGUUAUGUCUUGUAACCUUUUGUUGCUGGAACAAAUUCAACAUUCUUAUGUAGACAGAGAUUGUGAAAUGCUCGUGACUAAGCGCAAUUGUCCAAUGUUUGAAUACUCUUUGUUACAACUACUGAUGAAUUCAUAAAUCAAGAGUCUUCUUUACUAAUGCAGCGUGACAAACUUGACCUAAUGCAAUGAGUACAGGGCAAAACUUAUUUGUAAUGAUCCUAUAUUGAAUAUACUUGUGAAAACUUAUACAAAACUCAUUCUAGUUUCACAAUUAUUUGCUUUAAUCAGGUCAACCUCUUUUAUAGCUAUGACUACCCCACUUGCUACAUAUGAACAAAACCACCAAGAUGGAACAAGCAUUGAGGUAGCUUGCCAUUUGAUUGCUAAGAUGACUUUCCAACGAGACUUGCUAUCAAGAAAAGGUUCAUUUAUAAUGUGAUCAGUAAGGGGCUGAGAGGCAUAGCAUUUAUGUUACUUUCUCUAUAACCACACAAUUUAAUGCCAUACUUUUUCUCCAUCAUUGUUAAUUCUUCUAUGGCUUUCUUUAAAACACAAAAUGAAGCUCAAUAGAGGCCUUCAUUUCAUGACAAUUAUGUCCAAAAGGACUAAAAAACUAUAACCAAGAACAAGUGGAAAUAAAAAAAAAACAAUAAGAGAUAGGGACUUGCUCCAAUUAGCUUUAGCUUUAUCAAAACACUAAAUUUGCAUUGCAAAACGUGUAAUAUACACUUUGCUUAUCAAAACAUUCAAUUUACAUUGAUAAAUAUGUAAUAGAUGGUUUUGUUUUGCACAAAACUAAAUAUUCCUUGAAAGUUUAAUUUUUAAAAUUAAAAAUUAAGUUUAAGUCAAACAAUAAAUCAAUCAAAAUAAUAUCUACAAGUUCAUCAAUCUGUUGAAACAUUAACUAAUGUUGACUUGUUUUGUUUGAUAUCUAAAUACAUUUUUGAAGCUUGUCUGGUGGUAAAUAGAUGCUAAUCAACUUGUACAUGACCGUAAAUUGAAACUCCACCCCUACACGGAUAUAAACUGGAUAAAACUUCAAAUUUUAUUUCCGAAAUAGUUGUAAAACCAACCAAACAUUCAAAUUAGUAACCGCUUGCAGCUUACAUUCUGUAGUUAUAAACAUGAUUUACAAUGGAGACUACAUGAAUUAUUUAGAUUUACACCAAAACAGUAAUGAUCAAAAAGGAGAAAAUCUCACCUUCCCUCUCCAAUGAUACUAUGGGGCAUAGGUUUAGUAAUGUCCAUUGGUGAAUUCUCUGUAUUAGCUACUAUGCUUGUACUUGUUGAGGUAUCAUAGCUGGUUUCACUCGCUCUAGUUGCCAGAUUACUCAUAAAGCUGGUGUCAUCAAACUUCCAGUCAGUCAAGUAUCCAGGCUUUGAAACCACUCUGCUCACGUCAGCGUCUCCCGAAAGCAUAGCCACCACACGGGACAUGGAUGGCCUUUGCAUUGGUGAUGUCUGAGUGCACAAAAGAGCUAUUCCGAUUACACGCUUCACUUCUUCCUCGUUGAAUUCUGAUAAACUACCGUCCACUAGUUCAACCUCACGAUCAUUUUCAUGCAGGUACCAAGCCUUAUAAGCAGAAAGAUGAAAGAAUAUUUUACAAAAAAAAUUAGACAUAAUGCAUAUGAAACUCAGAAAGCAGAGGACUAAAGGUGUAGAAUGUGUUUUUAGUUGUAUAAAGUCACAUGAAUACAAGUCAAUGAGUCUAAUUUAUCAUACAUGAGAUUUAAAUGAACAUGACUAGUAUUUGAAUUCAAGUAAUCACUCCCUUCAGCUUUUUCCCCUAGAAUAAGAAUAUUGGAGCAGAAAACCCAACAUUACAUACCCAAGCAAAAGGAAAAUGUUGUCAAAGCUAAACAAUUUAAGGUACCAGAAGAGAAGUGAAUAUGCCAUAUUGCAAGUCACACAAACUUUUUAAUCCUAUAACAACUUUGCAAGUCACAUUCCCUUAAGUUCCAAUCGGACCAUUUCAAUUGCACUGUUGUGAGAGAAAGAGAGAGAAUAAGUCAAUUCCAAGGAAUGUCCAGAAUUCAAACAUUAAUGUGAACAGUAGUUUUCUUGACAUUCCAUUUUCAAUAGUGAAAUACAUGUAUAUUGUUAAAGCAUCAGGGCUAAGUUUCAAACACAUUGCUAACAUUGCUAGUAGAAAAUUAUAGUUAUUAUGAUCCAAUGAUGAUGCAGUACUAAAUUAAAACUUUUUAAAACUUCUCUCUUUCAAAAAAAUAAAAGCAAAAAGAAAAAAGAUGGACUGACAUGUAAAUCAGUAUACGAGAAAAUAUCAUUCACACCCAUCACCAGAGUGUAGCAAUGUCGGUACCUAUUUACACGUCAAAGUCUUGGUUCUAGGGCCAAGGUUAGACAUUGAUACCACUAUAACAGCUAGGCACACUAAUAGACUAACAAUCUACUAUAUAACUAAAAUGAUAAAUUAAUUCAUACCCAUUCAAGAAGGUAGAUCUGCUCUUCCUCCAAGCUAGAGUCCGAGUUAGGUCUUCCGCUAACAAUCUCUAGAGCCACAACACCAAAGGCAAACACAUCAGUCUUCUCUGUAAGGUGUCCACGCAUGGCAUACUCCGGUGCAAGAUACCCACUACAUAGGUGAUGACAACAACCAUUUAGUAAUAAUCUACUAGAGGCAUAAAAAUGAUGAGAAAUAAUAAAGUUGUUUAGAAAGAAGAGGGUUGCUAGUCUUCAGAAUCUUACAUUGUCCCUGCAACACGGGUGCUUAUGUGGGUUUUCUUAUCAUCAUAAAGUUUGGCUAAACCAAAAUCAGAGAUUUUUGGGAUGAGAUUAGAACCAAGCAAAAUAUUACUGGCCUUGACAUCUCUGUGCACAAUACGGACGCUUGAUUCUUCAUGAAGAUAAGCUAGACCUCGUGCUACUCCCAAGCAUAUAUCAUAACGUGUAGACCAGCUGAGGUUCAAAUUUUUUCCUGCUUCAUGAGAGCCAUAUGUAACUAGAUACUAACAUGUUUCCAACUUUCCAUCUUCAAGAGAAAAGCAUAAAACGCUUCAUAUAUUCUAUCUACGUACCAAAAAGUAUUUGAUCUAGACUCUUGUUUUCCAGAUACUCAUAAACAAGAAGACGUUGAUCUGCCUCGAAACAGCAUCCAUAUAGUUUGACAAGGUUACGGUGUUGCACAGCUGAUAUGGUGGCAAUUUCUGUAACAAACUCACUCUUGCCUUGGCGUGAUGCUAUGGACAAUUGCUUCACAGCAAUUACUCUUCCAUCAUCAAGUUUUCCCUGGUGUUCAAAUCAAGUCAAACAUAAUGAAUGAAAAUAUAACAAACUUAACAAAAAAAAUUAAUCAUGCUAUGCUCCAACAUUUUUAUACAAUAGAGUUCAUUUCAUUCAGUUUGUUAAUUUCAGUGACUAAAAUCUGAUUCAAUGAAAUUGUAAUCAACUUCGAUCCUCAAUGUUCCCUCCAUUGGAGCACACAAUUUCUCAAAAGAAAAGUAAUAGAAUAACCACCAAAUGUGUCAAAUUUCUUCAAUUACAUUGUCAAAUGGAAACAAUUAAGGCGGAUAAAAGGAUCAGUAAAUUGCAAUUCCUUAUCAUGUCAAAUGACUAUGUCUUAUCCCAGCUUUCAUCCUUUCCUGGGUGCAUAUGUUACGAUUAACAAUCAAAAGGAGAGAACUGCUUCCACUUAGUAAAAUUGAUAAAAAAGGUAAUUCUCAAUCUGAGAUUAGUCACGGAUUCAGAGGUGUUAUCUACUUUAUGCAUAGAUAAAUGCCUCCAUUUCAAACAAAAAUCCCAUAACAAGGUGCAUUCAUCCACCUCUUUACUAUUAAUACAACCACAAAUUACCUUAUAGACUGGCCCAAAUCCUCCCUCUCCAAGCUUAUUUUCAGGAUUGAAAUCCUCUGUAGCAGCUUUUAGUUCAGCAUAACUGAAAGUGUAUGGUCUAGCAUCUAUUCCUAGGAGCUCUGCAAAUUCAAGAAAACACAGAUUAGUGUUGUGAAACUGCUUGUCUAAAGAUAAAUUCACUUGUUUAGCCUAUAAGUUGGUAAUAAAUACACCUAAGUUUUUUUCUUAAAGAUAAGGUUCUUUAGUAAAUAUUUCUAAGGUCCCAUAAAUCUUUAAAAUGAAUGUUGCCUCUGUUAACUGUGAUAGAAGACUAGGACCACAUGGAUGCUCAGGACAAGUGUUCAUAUCCGGAAGCAGCUUCAAACUAAAGAAGUUCAACAACUUAAAUAUCAGCAACAAGACUUUAAAUUCUACCUUCAUCAUCUUUUUUAUGGGCCCUUCUUUUCCUAAAAAUGCAGAAAGCUGCAACAGACAGAAGGCUUACAGCUCCAACACCAACAACAAUCCCCACGAUCAGACCCGUUCUACUCUUCUUGCUUGUUGGAGCAUUAUUAUUAACAGUAGGUAUGAAAUCUGCUUAAAAGACUGCAGUUAAUAAUACUGUGAUACUGUGCUGUAAAUCAAGAAAAUUUGCUAAUUGCUCACCUGGGGUAGCACUGAUUGCUGAAAUGGAUGGUCCAUAUUUACCUUGAGCUGGUACACAGCAAGUCCCUUUCCCAGCCCAAAACAGAUGAAUUUCAAGGUAAUUUUCUGAUACCUGAGCCUUAAACUCUUUUGGUACUGCUCGUUUAGAAACUCCACCAGCCUCCUUGCGUAUGUCAAAAUCUUCCAAAACAAGAUUACCC